AUGGCUCAGGAUGAACGCUAGCGGCAGGCUUAACACAUGCAAGUCGAGGGGCAGCGAGAUCAGUGCUUGCACUGAUUGUCGGCGACCGGCGCACGGGUGCGUAACGCGUAUGCAACCUACCCAUUACAGGGGGAUAACACUGAGAAAUCGGUACUAAUACCCCAUAACAUCCAGGGAGGCAUCUUCUUGGGUUGAAAACUCCGGUGGUAAUGGAUGGGCAUGCGUUGUAUUAGUUAGUUGGUGGGGUAACGGCUCACCAAGACAACGAUACAUAGGGGGACUGAGAGGUUAACCCCCCACAUUGGUACUGAGACACGGACCAAACUCCUACGGGAGGCAGCAGUGAGGAAUAUUGGUCAAUGGACGCAAGUCUGAACCAGCCAUGCCGCGUGCAGGAAGACGGCUCUAUGAGUUGUAAACUGCUUUUGUACGAGGGUAAACUCGGAUACGUGUAUCCGUUUGAAAGUAUCGUACGAAUAAGGAUCGGCUAACUCCGUGCCAGCAGCCGCGGUAAUACGGAGGAUUCAAGCGUUAUCCGGAUUUAUUGGGUUUAAAGGGUGCGUAGGCGGUCGGAUAAGUUAGAGGUGAAAUCCCGGGGCUCAACUUCGGAAUUGCCUCUGAUACUGUUCGGCUAGAGAGUAGUUGCGGUAGGCGGAAUGUAUGGUGUAGCGGUGAAAUGCUUAGAGAUCAUACAGAACACCGAUUGCGAAGGCAGCUUACCAAGCUACUUCUGACGUUGAGGCACGAAAGCGUGGGGAGCAAACAGGAUUAGAUACCCUGGUAGUCCACGCAGUAAACGAUGAUAACUCGUUGUCGGCGAUACAUUGUCGGUGACUAAGCGAAAGCGAUAAGUUAUCCACCUGGGGAGUACGUUCGCAAGAAUGAAACUCAGAGGAAUUGACGGGGGCCCGCACAAGCGGAGGAACAUGUGGUUUAAUUCGAUGAUACGCGAGGAACCUUACCCGGGCUUGAAAGUUAGUGACGGAUCUUGAAAGAGGUCUUCCCUUCGGGGCACGAAACUAGGUGCUGCAUGGUUGUCGUCAGCUCGUGCCGUGAGGUGUCGGGUUAAGUCCCAUAACGAGCGCAACCCCUACCGUUAGUUGCCAGCAGGUCAAGCUGGGCACUCUGACGGGACUGCCGGUGUAAGCCGAGAGGAAGGUGGGGAUGACGUCAAAUCAGCACGGCCCUUACGUCCGGGGCUACACACGUGUUACAAUGGCAGGUACAGAGGGCAGCUACCCAGCGAUGGGAUGCGAAUCUCGAAAGCCUGUCUCAGUUCGGAUUGGAGGCUGAAACCCGCCUCCAUGAAGUUGGAUUCGCUAGUAAUCGCGCAUCAGCCAUGGCGCGGUGAAUACGUUCCCGGGCCUAGUACACACCGCCCGUCAAGCCAUGGAAGCUGGGGGUGCCUGAAGUUCGUGACCGGAAGGAGCGACCUAGGGCAAAACCGGUGACUGGGGCUAAGUCGUAACAAGGU
rnacentral:rRNA from 1 species